rnacentral:rRNA from 1 species
AACGAACGCUGGCGGCAUGCCUAACACAUGCAAGUCGAACGAGACCUUCGGGUCUAGUGGCGCACGGGUGCGUAACGCGUGGGAACCUGCCCUUAGGUUCGGAAUAACUCCCCGAAAGGGGUGCUAAUACCGGAUAAUGUCUUCGGACCAAAGAUUUAUCGCCUUUGGAUGGGCCCGCGUUGGAUUAGCUAGUUGGUAGGGUAAAAGCCUACCAAGGCGACGAUCCAUAGCUGGUCUGAGAGGACGAUCAGCCACACUGGGACUGAGACACGGCCCAGACUCCUACGGGAGGCAGCAGUGGGGAAUAUUGGACAAUGGGCGAAAGCCUGAUCCAGCAAUGCCGCGUGAGUGAUGAAGGCCUUAGGGUUGUAAAGCUCUUUUACCCGGGAUGAUAAUGACAGUACCGGGAGAAUAAGCACCGGCUAACUCCGUG